GACAUCUUGUGGAGUUGGUAUCUUUGCUGGCUUUAAGCAUCAUAUCCACGGUGCAAGAGUGGUCAACUGGCCCUGAAAAGGGUGAGUGCUCCGACCAACCCCUUGUUAUCAUUGAUUGGGCUCAAUGCGAAUUGACGCUACCUGUGCAGCGCUCUGACAUCUUCCUGCUCCAACAAUGAGUUCCAUGGGUGAAUGGAAACCGACCAAGUCUGCCGUGAUGCAGGAUAUCGGUACCGCACAAGGCAUGCAGAUUCGGAGGGGCUAGCUGUUGGGGCUCUGGCAGCACCUUGGGCCUUUGCUGGAAUGCUGUUGUCAAGCUUGCGUCACAGGACAGAAUCAGGUCAGCCUGCACAUUUUAUACGAUGCUGUAGACCUCGGCAUGAUCACAGAACCACAGUGCAGGGAAGAGCGCAUACGCCGACAGCACGUUGCACAUUUCGCAGAAACAGUAAAUUUCUACUGUCAACAUAAUUACAAGUCACCUUUCGAUGCCUGGGUGCGCAGGAUUUGCACACUUUGCUGUACGCAGUUCUAUUAUAUCAUCACUGGCCAUGGUGGCAUUUCUGGCCAUCCGCACAGAAGGCAGCAUGCUGCCACCAGAGGAUCAGACAGUCUCACAGGCGCCUAAAAAUGUACCGGCAUCCCCCCUCC
rnacentral:lncRNA from 1 species